AAAUGACUAUUGUUAGCUACGGUGAAGAGAAACCAUUGGUGAACGGUCAUUCUGAUGUGGAUUAUGCAAAAAACCGUCGUGUAGUAUUGGUUUACUAAUUGGAUAAUUUUGAUGAACAAUAACUUAGUGCGUA
rnacentral:sRNA from 1 species